AAGAAAGAUAGACAAAAGCGAGCGAGAUUGAGUCACUGUCACUUGUGGAGGAAAGUGCUAUAGAGUAGUUAGACCAGCCUCACUGGUCUGGGUGCAUUUAUCUGUCUGUAAGGCCUGUUGAAUGUCAUUCCCAUGCUUCUCCUCCUAGUGAUGACAUGAUCGAAAGAAGGGCAACUUCUCCACCACGAAAAUCGACACGCGUGACUUCUAGAGAUAGAGAGAAACAAACUGGAGAGUGAGAGAAUUUGUUAGAGGAAAAGGAAGAGAGAGAGAGAGAGUGAGAGAGAGAGAGUGAGUGUAAGAGACAGAAGAGUUUGAGCGGGUUUUAGCGUUGCUGUUUUUUGACACCGCUGAGUCUACAGAGCGAUGUCGCAACUUUUCUGACAACCCAAGGAGGACUGGAGUGACCAUGCAACAGACAGAGGAAAUAAGGGGAAAGAAUAUGUCAACAAUCCAUCUGGGAAAACUGGUGAAGUAUGACAAUGGAGAACAACUGGAAUGAUAAAGAGAACAAUCCUAACAUGCUUCCUAACAAGACAAGAGACGCCAGGGCACACGCCUGAAACUGAACUAAGACUGAGGACAAACACAAGGAAUGUUCCAGAUUGUUUUCUGUAACUCAAUCUCAACAGCCGCUGGUCUGUCUAAUCCAUAAUCCAUAUACAGCAUAUCAUAUGUAUGUACUGUAUGUUUGUUUGUAUAUACCAUCAUUGGUCUGACCCAGGGGGUCUGAUGUAAGAGUGCUCUCUGUCCUGAAUGUCUCAGCCAAACCCCUCCGUUGACACCCAGACUCUGCUUCAGUCCAUGCUCCAGAGACUGAGGCUCCAGCCUGGCUCAGAGACCCAGCACGGCAGGCAGGACCAGGCCCCCCACGGCCCCACCACAGCUGCCCAGGGCCAGGGGGAGGAUGGGGGGAGACCUUGGGCUAACGCCAUUGGCAAUGGGGCUCUGGGGCUGUCUCCGGCUGAUGAUGUCAGAGCGGCUGAGGGAAAAGGGGGAUGUGAGAAGGCCAGGAAAAGUGAGAUGUGGAGGUUGGACUCCAGGGAGGAGGUUGGGAUACCUGUGUGGGACUGUAAUUUUGGGGGAUCCAUUCGGAGAGGGAAAGGGGAGGAAGGGAGGAAGCAACCCACUGGCAGUCUCCCCAAGUUGGACAGGGGACAGAUGGUGUCAUCCCCUUUGGCUGCUCAGGGUGCCCCUGUCCUCGCCCCCUUACAGGAUGCUGGCAGUGUAAGAGGUGACCCAGGAGGGUCAGUGGGGGCUCUGCCAACAGUGAUGACCUUCACAGGAACUCAAACCGGGAACGAGGGCCACAUUGACGCAUCACCUCUCAGUAACUCAUCUCUAAGCUCCAAGACCAAGGGUGCUCAGAACCAUGACCGGUCGGUUCUAAUGACGUCAAACUCUGACUUUAUUCCAUUUGACAUGGGGACUCAAAUGAAGAGGUGGCAGACUUUGGGCUAUGGGGGGUCAGAGGUUCCGGGACAUGGAGAUGUCAUGAAGAUUAUGUCACCUGGUCAAGGUGUAGCAGAAAACACCUCGUCAACUAAGUCGAUGAAGAGAUUGACACAGAGGAUAAAGGAGAAAUGGAGGGACAGGCAGGAGAGUUUAGGGAAGAAAAGGAAAGCGGAGGAUGGAGUGAGAGAAGAAAGGAAAGAUGCAAAACAAGUUAAACUGUUAACCAGAGAUGAUAACGUCACUAAGAUGUCCAAUAAAGAAGGCUAUACGACCACUCAGUCACCAAUCAGAGAGGGCCAGGGGGAAGCCCCUCCCACUCUGUCAGAAGACAGCGGUACAGCAGGUCUGUUCAGAUCCCCAAGUUCCUUUGAGUUCGGCCUUGGGUCCUUUAGCUUGUUGGAGGAGAUCCUCACAGGGCAGGAGUGGGCCAGGUUUCUAAAUCCAUCACAAGUAGACACCUUAGCCAAUCAAACACCAGCUGAAGAGGUCACCAAUCAAUUAGAGGCCAGCCAGAGACGGCCACAAGAUCAUGAGAGCGGCCGAUCAACUAUGACCUUGGACAGAGUCAGACAAUCAGGAAAUGUGAACAGUCAGUGGGACUUCAGACAAAGUGAAUUGGACCUAAGUUAUGAUAGAAGCGCUGAUGUUUCUUCAUCUGUCAAUAUGAAUAUCACAGAACCAAGCCUUGUCCAAGAACAGAACAGUAAAUGUGAACUCAUCCAAUCGGCACCAAAGGAAUAUGGUCAUGUCCAAUCACAAACCAGUUCUGAUGAAGUGAGGCCAAAUCAUAUACCUGUGUUAGAGUUCUCGUUCAUUAAGAGUGUAGCCCAAACGGUUCGGACACAACAGACAGAAGUUGGCACAUCGGAGCCAGUGGAGGUCUUGGAUAGCUCUGCCCUGAAGAGCAGGGUCCACAUGAACAGAAAAAGAGAGCACCGGUCACAGGAGAGGAAAGAAGAGAGAGAAUGUUUAAAAGGAGAGGGGGGAGAGAGAUUAGAAGACAACUCAGUCCCAUCUGAUGAGGAAGAGAGGGAAGAGGGGGACAACUUUAUGAUGCCUGUCUACCCCCUGAAAUCCUCCCUUUCCCCUCUCCCUCCAUCCUCCCCCUCUUCCACCUCACAUCCCCUUGUCACCCGAAGUAUACUGCAACACUCAGUGUUUCAAGAUUCAGAGUCCUCACUAUCAAUGGAAACAGUGACCAAAAAGAGGCGGAUGUCAAAAUCUCGUCACGUGCGGUUCUCUGAGGAGGUAGUUACCAUGCCGCCCAGCCUCCUGAUCCAGCAGUAUCCUGAUUCAGAGGAGGAUUGUGGAACAGAGGAGGACUCCACGCUAGAGGAGAAUGCAGUGAUGGAGGAAGUUCAAGUUGUGCCGAUGAUGCUACAGCCCGCUGCUGCUCUCCCCGCCUGGAUAUUAGCUCUGAGGAGGAAGACAAGGAAGAAACACAGGCACUGAACAAUAACAGGCUCAUCCUUGUCUACCCUUAUUUAACCAAGCAAUUACCUUGAGAAUCUCCUUUGCAAGAGAGACUUGGCAAGAUAGUAAAAAUACUUUGUAAUUACUUUUGCAUCUUUUUUUUCAUUCAACUCAAAUGUUUGAUACUGAGUUAUUAGUGCUUUCCAUGGGGAAGGGAAGAGGAAAGGAAACGAGAUUACUUCGAUCAUUCUACAAGCCAACACACAAAAACAAACUCAUGUCAUUACAUGAUCGCUAUGUUUACGUGUGAAAGUGUUCUAAGUCCAUUAGCAUGGAAUGUCAGGAGACAAUAGUUAUAACGGACCGUUUCUCUCUCUCUCUCCCUCGCUCCUCAUCAGUCCUUAUUAAUUAACAGUGGUGUAAGGCCAUUAAGAAGCUCUUUUGCUGAUCUAUUAGUGUUGUGAUGGGUCCUUGGUGAGAGGAGGAGUGCCCAGGUUGUGUGUGUGUGUAUGUGUCCGUGCAUAUUGGGUGUGUAAUGCAGAAAAACACAAUACAGCAGGCACGACUCAGUCAAGUCCGAUAAUUGUAUAAUUGCUGGUUACCUUUGCUUUCCACCAGGUUCCAAGAUCAAUAUAGGACCACGGCAUCUUUUCUCAUACCCCCCCAUUGUUAUAGUACAUCACAAAUGGAGCAAGACAGAGAUGGAGAAAGGGAUGAGGCCAGAUAACUGUAACAUAUGAACUACAGAGUAUGUACAAAGGUAAUGGGACCAGGGCAAAGCUUUUAUGUGGCGGCAGACUGUGGAACAGCUACAAUAUUGAGAGUAACAGUUUAUAAAGUUAUUUGUUUGUUUUUACUAAAGUGUUCAUCCCACUGUACAGAGAUAGUUUGCCCCCAAAGAUCGGAACACAUUUUAAAAACACAUUUUAAAAGUUAUUCAGAGAUUCAAUUGUUACGUCAUUCAGGGCAAGUGGGGCGGAGCCCCAUCUGUUUUGAGCCUCACAUUUUUAGCAAUAAAUAAUUAAACAUGUAUAUUUGUUUUAAAUUGGGGGGGCUUGCCAUUUUGCAUGUUAUUUUGGCAUUAAUAUGUGUCACAUAUUAGUUUGCAAACUAUGUAAAAAAAAUAUAUAUAAAUAUCAUUGCGUUAAUAAAGGCGCACACACACAUGGUCUCUUUGUUGUGUUCUUGAGUAAGGCAGCUCCAAAAUGCAGGUGUUUCAGCCUAGCACAGUGCUUUCUGUGGUGGUG
ensembl:lncRNA